CCUACGGGAGGCAGCAGUGGGGAAUUUUGGACAAUGGGCGCAAGCCUGAUCCAGCCAUGCCGCGUGCGGGAAGAAGGCCUUCGGGUUGUAAACCGCUUUUGUCAGGGAAGAAAAGGUUCUGGUUAAUACCUGGGACUCAUGACGGUACCUGAAGAAUAAGCACCGGCUAACUACGUGCCAGCAGCCGCGGUAAUACGUAGGGUGCAAGCGUUAAUCGGAAUUACUGGGCGUAAAGCGUGCGCAGGCGGUUAUGCAAGACAGAGGUGAAAUCCCCGGGCUCAACCUGGGAACUGCCUUUGUGACUGCAUAGCUAGAGUGCGGCAGAGGGGGAUGGAAUUCCGCGUGUAGCAGUGAAAUGCGUAGAUAUGCGGAGGAACACCGAUGGCGAAGGCAAUCCCCUGGGCCUGCACUGACGCUCAUGCACGAACGACGGUGGGGAGGACGAACGAGGAGUAGGUACGUACCCGUACGGUAGUACCGUACCGACCCGUAACCGUACUAGUCUACUGGUUGGUUGGGUAGGGUUUCGUUCUC
rnacentral:rRNA from 1 species